AAAGAUAGAUAGGUUUCUCAAAGAGAGUACAUAGAGUUUAAAUAGAGAAAGAAGAGAAGGUGAGAAGACAGAACAACAAAGCCUCGGAAAAGACAACAGAAUUAAAAGAAAAGUUUGAAAACGAAAUUAGGCUCCUCCCCUUCCAUUUGGCGUGAUCUUGAGACAUAGGAGGCCUUGGGCUUCUGAUUCAACAAAUGGGCUAUGAUGGAGUGAGACAAUUGCCUCGUUAAAAACCUAACAAGGAAAACCCAAUGGGACAAAACCUUGCUAGGGAAAAAGAGUACAACUGACUCACUCUCCCAUUGUUGAAUCCUAUUGGCUUAGCUAUUUCUCCAAGCCAAGGUGGUUUGAUCAGCUUCUUCACUAGAACGUCCGCAGCUACAAGCUCAUCCUCGGGUUCAUGCUGCUCCUCUGGUUCAAGCUGCUUCCUUGCUUCGUGCUGCUCAGGUACAAGCUCAUUCCCACAUUCCAAGUCCUUGGUGCUUUCCAGGAUCACAUCAUCCUCUCCCACUUGAAAAGGAUUUGACCUCAAAUCCGAUUUUUCUGCAUUUGAAAGAACCAAGUCAGAAACUUCAAAACUUGAACUCAAAUUUUGCUUACCUUGGAGAUCAAUUGGAUCAUCUUGGUUUUGGAUAAGUCUGAAUGCUUUGAAAGGUCUAUGCAUCGUUGGCUUCAGCUUUGACUUGAAUAUUUCAUUUGGCGGUCCUUCGUUGAUCAGUAUGAAGCUGCUGAUGUCUUGAUGUUGAACUUGGUCUAAAUCAGGGGGCUUAAACCGAUUGUCUUCCUCUCUCCUUUCAGUACUUCUCAUGUGCUCCAAGGCUGCUUUAAAACCUACAUUUGACUCUUUUGACAAAGACAAGCGAAUCAUAUCUGUGUGAUCUGGAUUAAAAGCAUUUUUCAGAACAUAGGCACUUACCUUGGGAAUGCUCCUCUGCUCAGGUAAUGCAUCUGGUGGGUUCUCCUUGAUUUGAAUAGAACACAUGAGUCUUUCUCCAACUUCAAAGAUCAUCUUAUUGGCUCUGGACAAAGUCAUAAGACUUGUUUGUAUGAUCAAUGCUUCAUCCGGUCUAAGCUCGAGCUCCUUCUCCAAGUUGAUUCUUUGUGUACUAGCAAGCUCGAUCGAGUUGAAUGAUGUAUGGUCGAGCUCAUGUUCAAGUUCUUCUUCAGCUGCUUGCUCUUGCAAGAUCAUAUCAUCUCCCUCCACUUGAAAGGGAUUUGACCUCAAAUCCAAGUCUCCUACAUCAAAAGGAAAUUGUGUAGACAGGGUAGAACAAAAGUAAGCAUUAGCAAGGUAAUAUUUUAGAGUAGAGCAUCCUUUUGCAAUGGCAGUUGUUUUCCUUAGGUACUUCCAGUUCCAAACUCCAAAGAGAUCAGUCCUUGCUUUUCUCUCUUUGCCUGCUUUCAUUUUUGACCAAGGUGGAUCCAAGUACUCCUUUGAUCCAUAACCAAAUGGAUUAGCAAAGGCAUAACUCUUCCUAGUGUUUGAAGGGGCAUCCUUAACCUGUUUUUCAUGAGCUUUCACAAACACUAAAGAAAACACAUCAAAUGUGCGUGAAGAAUCAAAUAGCUCUUUAUGAUGAUGCUUAAACACAUUUUUGCAGCCUAAAACGUUUAAUUUAGAUUCCAAAUAAUUUCUACUCUUAGUAAACGACUUAUGCAACAUAGGUUCAGUUCUAGCUCUAAUCAGCUCAGUUAUGUCACUAAACUUAGAAACCUUCAGAGAAGAAAGAAUUUCAUGCAGUUCACUAGUUACAAGAUGUUUUGAGUUUAAAAACGUUUCAGGUGUGAAUCUUUCAAAGCUAGUGAGCAUGCUGCUAAGAACAGAAUCUGAAACUCUAAAUUCUUUCACUUUUUCUAAACCAAAACGUUUUUCUUCUUCAGCAGAAACCAACACAAAUAAAUUAGGUUCUUUUCUCACUAAACCAAUUUCCUUACAAUGCUUUCUUGAGUAGUAAGAAGGAAUAGGCAUAAGGACUGGUUCUGGUACAAAGUCAGGCAGCUGCUCCAUAUCAUUAGCCAAUGGCAAACUCCAUUGUUCUUCUCUUGUUGAAUUUUCUUCUAGGAUCUGUGAAAAAGAAACAAUACUACUCGGCUGCACCGGUUCUAAUUGGGUUAGUUUUUCACAAGCCUGUUUAUUUUCAGACAUAAGAGAAGAUUUAAUAAUAGAAAAAGCAAAGUUAGCUUCCAAUGACUCCCUGGGAAAGGUAGGAUGUGUCACAGUUUCGUUCUUAGAUUGCUCUUGAACUAAUGUGUCUGGUUGAGUUUCCACAUCCUCUCUAACGUUGUUCUCAGCUUUUUCUUGCAGCACCUCAGGUUCAUUGCAGAUUGGUAAGGGUUGAUUUGAUUCUGGCUCCUGAACAGCUAGCUUUUCCUCAGGACAACUUGAUCUCUUCUUCGUUUCUUCAGUACCAAUAGGUUGGCAAUUGGCUGGACUCUUCUUUUGGCUAUUCGUAAAGGCAUUAAGUGUUUCGAGCAUCUCCUCUUCCAACUCCUCAAUACGCCUUUGUCUUUGUAACUUGUCCUGAAGAUGCUUAGUUUGCUUGGGCUUGUUGUAAGCAUUGAGAAUCUCCAAGAGUUCUUCCUUAAAAGUUUCUUCAACUAUGAGGUUGCUUUUAACAGUGUCCUUCUGAUCCUUGGGAGCUUUCUUUUGCCUUGGCUUCAAAGCUUUUUCUUCUUUCAGGUCAUGACGUUGUUGUCUAGGUUGCUCAAAACGAUCUGUUCACUGCGACCAUGAUAGUCAUACUUUGAUUCGUCUCUGGUUGACCCGCUUCUCCAAUUUGGUUUCUCCUGGGGUCUCCUUGGUUUUGCCUCUUUUGGAUGCGAAAUCUGCUUAUGCUGCUCUUUGCUUUUCCUUGGAGACCUUGACACCUGAUGAAGAUCAUUGAAGAAAGCAUUCAGUUUGGUGUCCAUCAGCUCUGUCACAGCUUCCAUCAAAAUCUUGUUGUUUUGUUGAUUUGACAUGUUCCUGCAAUUUAUAAAAAAAAAGCACAAUAGUAUCAAAUUCCUUUUAACAGAUCAAAACAGACCCUAAAACACAGAAAACAUGAACCCUAGAAUCUGAAAAGUUCAAACAGGUCUAAGAAGAUGAAAAUUUCACGUUUUCCAAAUCGCACGAUUGAGUACAGAAUCCUAUAGUUCAGAACGUGAAUAAAACGAUUUAACAAGUUUCGUUACGAUCCGAUAAGUAUUCAAGCGUGAAACGACGAACGAAUUUUGACGAACAGAGGAUACCAAGAGUUUCGAAUAACACAACCUGAUACAAAGUUGCUCUGAUACCACAUGAUACGAUCUUGGGUGAGAAGAUCCAGUCCCUUGAAGUCUCUUUGUAUGGAUUGUAAUAGGUGAAGUGAAUGAUGCUCGAGUAGUGAUCUCAGAUGGUCGUAUUGGGUUCUGUUCGAGUGACCUACUCGAGUAGGGAUCUGAGACAGUCGAGUGAAGUGAAUCGGUGAAACGGAUGGUGCUCGGUCGUUGGUCGAGUGAUGAAUCCGAGCUGGUCGAGUGGUAUGGAGUGAACUCGAGUGGUCUGUUCGAGUAGUGAAGUGGUGGAUCGAUUGGUCGCACAGAGGAUGCGGAAAGCCUCUGAUAUACCGUCUGAACCUUCUCUGGAUAUGACACACCAAAGAAAGAACAGGAUUUCUCCAGGAUAUUACACACCUAAGAGAGAUGAUCUAACUUAAAAGGUUUUUGGUUGAAAAGAUAGAUAGGUUUCUCAAAGAGAGUACAGAGAGUUUAAAUAGAGAAAGAAGAGAAGGUGAGAAGACAGAACAACAAAGCCUCGGAAAAGACAACAGAAUUAAAAGAAAAGUUUGAAAACGAAAUUAGGCUCCUCCCCUUCCAUUUGGCGUGAUCUUGAGACAUAGGAGGCCUUGGGCUUCUGAUUCAACAAAUGGGCUAUGAUGGAGUGAGACAAUUGCCUCGUUAAAAACCU
rnacentral:lncRNA from 1 species